UGGUAGUCCACGCUGUAAACGAUGUCGACUUGGAGGUUGUGCCCUUGAGGUGUGGCUUCCGGAGCUAACGCGUUAAGUCGACCGCCUGGGGAGUACGGCCGCAAGGUUAAAACUCAAAUGAAUUGACGGGGGCCCGCACAAGCGGUGGAGCAUGUGGUUUAAUUCGAUGCAACGCGAAGAACCUUACCUGGUCUUGACAUCCACGGAAGUUUUCAGAGAUGAGAAUGUGCCUUCGGGAACCGUGAGACAGGUGCUGCAUGGCUGUCGUCAGCUCGUGUUGUGAAAUGUUGGGUUAAGUCCCGCAACGAGCGCAACCCUUAUCCUUUGUUGCCAGCGGUCCGGCCGGGAACUCAAAGGAGACUGCCAGUGAUAAACUGGAGGAAGGUGGGGAUGACGUCAAGUCAUCAUGGCCCUUACGACCAGGGCUACACACGUGCUACAAUGGCGCAUACAAAGAGAAGCGACCUCGCGAGAGCAAGCGGACCUCAUAAAGUGCGUCGUAGUCCGGAUUGGAGUCUGCAACUCGACUCCAUGAAGUCGGAAUCGCUAGUAAUCGUGGAUCAGAAUGCCACGGUGAAUACGUUCCCGGGCCUUGUACACACCGCCCGUCACACCAUGGGAGUGGGUUGCAAAAGAAGUAGGUAGCUUAACCUUCGGGAGGGCGCUUACCACUUUGUGAUUCAUGACUGGGGUGAAGUCGUAACAAGGUAACCGUAGGGGAACCUGCGGUUGGAUCACCUCCUUACCUUAAAGAAGC
rnacentral:rRNA from 1 species